rnacentral:rRNA from 1 species
GAGUUUGAUCCUGGUUCAGGACGAACGCUGGCGGCGUGCCUAAUACAUGCAAGUCGAACGCUUUUUCUUUCACCGGAGCUUGCUCCACCGAAAGAAAAGGAGUGGCGAACGGGUGAGUAACACGUGGGUAACCUGCCCAUCAGAAGGGGAUAACACUUGGAAACAGGUGCUAAUACCCUAUAACAAGUAAAACCGCAUGGUUUUACUUUGAAAGGCGCUUUUGCGUCACUGAUGGAUGGACCCGCGGUGCAUUAGCUAGUUGGUGAGGUAACGGCUCACCAAGGCAACGAUGCAUAGCCGACCUGAGAGGGUGAUCGGCCACAUUGGGACUGAGACACGGCCCAAACUCCUACGGGAGGCAGCAGUAGGGAAUCUUCGGCAAUGGACGAAAGUCUGACCGAGCAACGCCGCGUGAGUGAAGAAGGUUUUCGGAUCGUAAAACUCUGUUGUUAGAGAAGAACAAGG